AAAUUUCCUAAAGGCCUGGAGACUUUGGCAUGUAGUACCGAGCCGUUAAAUUCUAGAGCGAUUUCAUUUGUGCCAGCUACUUACCAUCACCAACAUCAAACUUGUGUAACUACACUGCAGUUUUACUUCUGAAAAUGAGCUUUUCUUGGACUGAAUAGGUGCAGAGGGUAAACGGCAAGAAGAGAUCUGAUCUGCUGCGCAGAAAGCCAAAGGGAAGUAUUCAUAGGAGGCUCAAUCAUAAAGAUCUCCUCAAAGACAUUUGGCAGAACGAUUUCCAUGUCCCGGGUUGCCAUUACCAGGUUUGCAACAACAGACUAAGCAAACUCACUUCAUAUGAGGCCUUCUGAAACAAUCAUUAGGAACCAAGACGUCUCAAAGGUCAUAAAGUGAAGAGUGAUGAUCUCAGAGCGCAACAUGGGGACAGAACUCCACUGGUGGGUGCUGCUUAUUUUGCCUACAAAUUCGGAAUGCGGAGGUCAUGAUGCUCUCCUGAAUCGAUGGCAUUACUGGACAAAUUCUUUUUUGUCAGGUGCAGUUCCUCUGCUCAGGUGGGAGCACCAGAAAUCCAGUGGUACAUGGAAUUCUCAUUGAAGUUAGAAGAUAUUCGACAAUGCGUGAAUGAAAACUAGAACAACAGGGGCCAUGACGGCUUGGCUCCUGUACCUCCUUUCACAGCUCCUCCCAGGAUCUAGCACCGCGCAUCCUUUCCACCGGACGGCUCAUAGAUGCUGCCGACUGCUAACAAUUACGUGACAAUGCAGAAGCAAUAUCAUUUAUAUAAUUUGAUUAGCUGCAUGGAAUUGUAUGCGCAGACGUUUUUUCCUAAUGGAAGAAUUUUAGUCUGUAAAACUGGUUGAACUAAAGAUUCAAAUAUAAAAGUAUAGACUUUGCCCAUGAUGCUCUCUACCAUUCCAUCCUUCACUCGUUUAUUCAUUCAUGCUUCAAAUAUGCAUUGAGUGGCUACUAUUUGUCAGACAUUCUUUUAGGCGCUGGGUGUACCAGUUCCUGCCCUCAAAAAAUGUUAGUUAUAAGACAGGUAACAGGCGUUUCUCAAAAUUGUGGUUUAUUAAAAAUUAAUAGUUGAACUGGUCUAAUUUUGAUUUAGCUGGGGCAGAUUUCUUGUGUUU
rnacentral:lncRNA from 1 species